rnacentral:rRNA from 1 species
AUUGAACGCUGGCGGCAGGCCUAACACAUGCAAGUCGAGCGAGCGGCGGACGGGUGAGUAAUGUAUGGGGAUCUGCCAGAUAGAGGGGGAUAAAUACUGGAAACGGUGGCUAAUACCGAAUACUAUCGGAGGAAACCAUAUGGGAUUAGCUAGUAGGUGGGGUAAAGGCUCACAUAGGCGACGAUCUCUAGCUGGUAUGAGAGGAUGACCGGCCACACUGGGACUGAGACACGGCCCAGACUCCCACGGGAGGCAGCAGUUGGGAAUAUUGCACAAUGGGCGCAAGCCUGAUGCAGCCAUGCCGCGUGUGUGAAGAAGGCCUUAGGGUUGUAAAGCACUUUCAGCGAGGAGGCGUUACCCGCAGAAGAAGCACCGGCUAACUCCGUGCCAGCAGCCGCGGUAAUAC